rnacentral:misc_RNA from 1 species
UAAUUAUCAGUGAAAAAUGUCUACCGAAACGGAAACUUUAAAAAAACUACGAGUAAAGAGGUCUCAGUGUAAGGGAACAAUCACUAGAAUUGAGAAUUUUGUACAAGACCCCGUAAGUUUAGCUGCCGCGAGCGCCGACAUUCUUGAGGCGCGCAAGGAAAAGUUAAUUUCAACACUCAAAGAUUAUGAGAAGGUCCAGAUGGACAUACUAGGCAUCGAUGAAGGAGACAGCGAACAGGUGGGAGAUAUUGAAGAUAAAUAUUAUUCAAUAUUAGCCAAAAUUAAUAGUUCUCUUAAAAUGUUGAAUACCAAAGUAACUUCAGAGUGCCACAAUGCUUCUACUUGCAAGUUACCAACAAUUGAAAUACCAUUCUAUGAUGGCAAAGACUUCACCAAGUUUAAACCCUUUUUUGACUUGUUUUCUGCUGUAAUUGAUAACAAUAACUCAUUGAGUGAUGUGCAGAAACUUUUCUAUUUGAGAAAGUACUUGCAAGAAGAUGCAUUGGCAGUAAUAGUAAAUCUGCCUUUAGUAAAUGAAUCUUAUAAAGAAGCAAUACACUUGUUAAAAAGGAGAUUUGAUAACAAAGCUAGAUUAAUAGCAAAUCAUAUAAGUAUAUUGUUGGAUAUUCCUACAAUGCAAAAGGGCACAGCGGUCUCCAUACGAACAUUUGUUUCCCAAAUAAAUCAACAAAUCCAUGCUCUAAAAAAUUUAGAAGAACCCGUUGAUAAAUGGGACAUGCUUUUAAUUUCAAUCUUGACACGCAAAUUGGAUCAAUUUACAAAUCGGGCUUAUCAAUUAGACCGAGAUUUAGACACCAUGCCUACUAUGGCUAGUUUCAUUGAGUAUUUGGAGAAGCGUGCUAUAGCGCUUGAAGAUAGUCAACCAAAUAAACAUAGUACCUGCUAUGAAGGUACUAACAAACAUUUCAAUAUUAAAAGCACUUGCUAUGAAGGUGCUCAUAAAUCAAUACCUAAGGUAACAAAUGUGGUAUCGAAAUCGCUGCCGCCCUGUAGGUAUUGUGAAAAUAAAGACCAUCAGAUAUAUAACUGUCACAUAUUCAAAAUGCUACCUGUUGCUCAGAGGCAAUCUUAUGUAAAAGAGAAACACAUGUGUGAUGUGUGUCUUAACAAUCAUGAAGGGAAAUGUAAAUUUACAUUUAAAUGUAAAAUAUGUAAACAGGGCCACAACACAUUGCUGCACCAGGAGCGCAAUGUAAGUGUGGACAAGCCCACAAUUGUUGAUGUCAGCGCGCACCCACCAUCACCAGAUGCUGGGUUGCAUAAAAACUGAAAAUGGACCUGUAUUCCAGAAUACCAUGUUAGGAUAUAUUGUUGGAGGAAGUAUUCCUGAAAAAGGACACCACUGCGUGUUUAAUCCCUCGAGUCGCACCUCACACCAUCGUGUGGUCUUUGACGGGUCGAUGAGAUCUAGAAAUGGGACAUCGUUGAAUCAAGUCAUGCUGAAUGGGCCUGUUGUACAGAGUGAGCUUUUUGAUAUUCUUAUUUUGUUCAGGACUUAUCCAUAUAUUUUAACAUGUGACAUUCAAAAAAUGUUUCGCAAUGUUUUUAUAAAUGAACAUCAACGCGGACUUCAAAACAUUUUAUGGCGCGAUUCGCCUAAAGACCCUAUCAACUGCUUGCAGCUCCAGACUGUUACAUACGGCUUGAAAUCAAGCACAUUUUUAGCUACAAGAGUUCUCAAUGAACUAGCAAAUAUGCAUAAGGAUCAGUUCCCUUUGGCCGCACAGGCAAUUUAUAAAAAUACAUUUGUUGAUGAUGUGCUGACUGGUGCUGAUGAUGUAGAGACGCUUCAGGAGCUGAAAAAUCAAAUUGUAGAGCUUUUAAAAUUAGGUA